ACACGAUGACUAUGAGUAUUUGGAGUCAAAAACUGUGUUGUAUGUUCAUACUCUUGUGGGUUUUAUGCCUAAGGUGUAGAAUUUACGCCGCCGAAUUCCACGCUGAGUUGCAACAAAAUACAACAGUGGAAAAUGGCGAAGAAGAAGACGCACAUACGGUUUACGACGCGGAUACUAAGAAACAAGAUGUAGCAUGGUGUAAUAGCACAGCAGGUAUAUGUUCCAUAUCAUUGUGGUCCGUAUCAUUACUUAGUAUAAGAAAUGUCGUUACCGGUUAUGAUGCGUCAGUCCGGUUCAUGAAACAAAACGUGGAAGCUGUUUGUCUGCAGAUCGAACUGAAUGCUCAGAACAAUGCCAGCACAAUCGAAUAAGGUACGAUGAUAACUGUUGUCGGUGCUCGUGUCGAAAAGGAUAUGGAAUUGGAAAAGAUAGAAUAAGCUGCCUAAAAACUUCAUGGACACCAUGGGAGUCGUGGACGUCAUGUUUGAGCACAGAAUGGGGAGGACUUGAAACACGAAGCAGACGAUGUCGUACAAAACAUGCAGCAGAUGCGACAGGAAGAUGCGUAGGCGCUGGAAGUCAAUCAAGAACAUGCAGCAAAAUAACUAAACGUGAGCCACAAACGUCCGUGAUUAUAUUGCGCACUUUUUGUUUGGCUAUUUUAAGAAACCUGCUAUCC